rnacentral:rRNA from 1 species
GCACGAGGCAACAUGAAUAAAAUGGAUGCAAAAGUGAAGGGGGCACAUGCAUGAUCUUAACUGCCAAGUCAAUAUGGGGGUGUGUCUCAGGACUGAUAUGUCUGAAGUUGGAAGGCCUUGUGCUGGUGAUGCUUCAUUCAAAUAUCUGCCCUAUCAAGUUUAGAUGGUAGGAUAGAGGCCUACCAUGCUUUCAAUGGGUAACGGGGAAUAAGGGUUUGAUUCUGGAGAGGGAGCCUGAGAAACAGCUACCACAUCCAAGGAAGGCAGUAGGCAUGCAAAUUACCCAAUCCCGACAUGGGGAGGUAGUGACAAUAAAUAACAAUAUGGGGCUCAUUUAGGUCCCAUAAUUGGAAUGAGUACAGUUUAAAUCCCUUAACGAGGAACAAUUGGAGGGCAAGUCUGGUGCCAGCAGCCACAGUAAUUCCAGCUCCAAUAGCAUAUAUUAAAGUUGUUUCUGUUAAAAAGCUCAUAGUUGAACUUCCAUGGGCCCAUGUGGUCUGCCUCACGGCAAGUACUGCAUGGGUCUGUGCUCCUCGGUGGUGAGCCUUGAUGCCAUUCAUUCGGUGUCUUGGUGAACCACCUCUGUUACCUUGAGAAAAUUAGAGUAUUCAAAGCAGGCAAACACCUGAAUACAUUAGCAUGGAAUAAUGAAAUAGGACGUGUGGUUCUAUUUUGUUGGUUUCUAGAGUCACCGUAAUGAUUAACAGGGAUAGUUGGGGGCAUUAGUAUUCAGUUGCUAGAGGUGAAAUUCUUGGAUUUACUGAAGACUAACUACUGUGAAAGCAUUUGGCAAGGAUGUUUUCAUUAAUCAAGAUCAAAGGUUAGGGGACCGAAAACGAUCAGAUACUGUUGUAGUCUUAACAGUAAACUAUGCCAACUAGGGAUUGGGUGACCUCAAUUUGAUGUGUUGCUUGGCACCUUAUGAGAAAUCAAAGUCUUUGGGUUUGGGGGGGAGUAUGGUCACAAGGCUGAAACUUAAAGGAAUUGACAGAAGGGCACCACCAGGAGUGAAGCCUGCGGCUUAAUUUGACUCAACAUGGGGAAACUCACCAGGUCCAGACAUAACUAGGAUUGACAGAUUGAUAGCUCUUUCUUGAUUUUAUGGGUGGUGGUGCAUGGUCAUUCUUAGUUAGUGGAGUGAUUUGUCUGGUUAAUUCCGAUAAUGAACAAGACCUUCCCAUGCUAACAGCUGGCUUUGGCUGGUUGCCGGCUUCUUAGACAGACUAUCGACGUUUAGCCAAUGGAAGUUGGAGGCAAUAACAGGUCUGUGAUGCCCUUAGAUGUUCUGGGCUGCAUGUGUGCUACACUGACAGGGCCAGUGAGUUUAUCAUCUUGGCUGGAAGGUCUGGGUAAUCUUGUGAAACCCUGUCGUGCUGGGGAUAGAGCAUUGUAAUUAUUGCUCUUCAACAAGGAAUUCCUAGUAGGCAUGAGUCAUCAGCUCGCAUCAAUUAUGUCCCUGCCCUUUGUACACACUGCCUGUCGCUACUACUGAUUGAAUGGCUUAGUGAGGUCUUCAGAUUGGCUUCAGGGAGCUGGCAAUGGUUCCCUGUUGCCGAGAAGUUGAUCAAACUUGGUUGUUUAGAGAAAGUAAAAGUCAUAACAAGGUUUCCGUAGGUGAACCUGCAGAAG